rnacentral:rRNA from 1 species
AACGAACGCUGGCGGCAUGCCUAACACAUGCAAGUCGAACGAGACCUUCGGGUCUAGUGUCGCACGGGUGCGUAACGCGUGGGAACCUGCCCUUAUGUUCUGAAUAACUCCCCGAAAGAGGUGCUCAUAUCGGAUAAUCUCUUCUGACCAAAGAUUUAUCGCCUUUGGAUGGGCCCGCGUUUGAUUAGCUAGUUGGUAGGGUAAAAGCCUACCAAGGCGACGAUCAAUAGCUGGUCUGAGAGGAUGAUCAGCCACACUGGGACUGAGACACGGCCCAGACUCCUACGGGAGGCAGCAGUGGGGAAUAUUGGACAAUGGGCGAAAGCCUGAUCCAGCAAUGCCGCGUGAGUGAUGAAGGCCUUAGGGUUGUAAAGCUCUUUUACCCGGGAUGAUAAUGACAGUACCGGGAGAAUAAGCCCCGGCUAACUCCGUG